UACGUAGGGUGCGAGCGUUAAUCGGAAUUACUGGGCGUAAAGCGUGCGUAGGCGGUUCGUUAAGUCAGCUGUGAAAGCCCCGGGCUCAACCUGGGAACUGCGGUUGAAACUGGCGAACUAGAAUCUGGCAGAGGGGGGUGGAAUUCCACGUGUAGCAGUGAAAUGCGUAGAGAUGUGGAGGAGCACCGAUGGCGAAGGCAGCCCCCUGGGCUGAGAUUGACGCUCAGGCACGAAAGCGUGGGGAGCAAACAGG
rnacentral:rRNA from 1 species